rnacentral:rRNA from 1 species
GACGAACGCUGGCGGCGUGCUUAACACAUGCAAGUCGAACGGAAAGGCCCUGCUUUUGUGGGGUGCUCGAGUGGCGAACGGGUGAGUAACACGUGAGUAACCUGCCCUUGACUUUGGGAUAACUUCAGGAAACUGGGGCUAAUACCGGAUAGGAGCUCCUGCUGCAUGGUGGGGGUUGGAAAGUUUCGGCGGUUGGGGAUGGACUCACGGCUUAUCAGCUUGUUGGUGGGGUAGUGGCUUACCAAGGCUUUGACGGGUAGCCGGCCUGAGAGGGUGACCGGCCACAUUGGGACUGAGAUACGGCCCAGACUCCUACGGGAGGCAGCAGUGGGGAAUAUUGCACAAUGGGCGGAAGCCUGAUGUAGCAACGCCGCGUGCGGGAUGACGGCCUUCGGGUUGUAAACCGCUUUCGCCUGUGACGAAGCGUGAGUGACGGUAAUGGGUAAAGAAGCACCGGCUAACUACGUG